CCUACGGGUGGCAGCAGUGAGGAAUAUUGGUCAAUGGGCGCGAGCCUGAACCAGCCAAGUCGCGUGAGGGAAGACGGUCCUAUGGAUCGUAAACCUCUUUUGUCGGGGAGCAAAAGAUGACACGCGUGCCGUUUCGAGUGUACCUGAUGAAAAAGCAUCGGCUAACUCCGUGCCAGCAGCCGCGGUAAUCCGGAGGAUGCGAGCGUUAUCCGGAUGUAUUGGGUUUAAAGGGUGCGUAGUCGGAAGAUCAAGUCAGCGGUAAAAUUGUUGGGCUCAACCUCUUCGAGCCGUUGAAACUGGUGUUCUUGAGUGAGCGAGAGGUAGGCGGAAUGCGUGGUGUAGCGGUGAAAUGCAUAGAUAUCACGCAGAACUCCGAUUGCGAAGGCAGCAUACCGGGGCUCGACUGACGCUCAUGCACGAAAGUGUGGGUAUCGAACAGGAUUAGAUACCCCUGUAGUC
rnacentral:rRNA from 1 species